AGCCCAAAAUAGUAGCACCCACUCUUUUUCCAGAAAACCGAUAUAAACUGAAACAGAACCAGAGUCAUUCGUUUUGGUUCUUGUUCUUUGAAAUGAAAUGCCACCAAAUGGCUCUUCUCUCAGUCACCACCACGAACCUCUCUCUUUGUUUUAGCCCUCUCUCACGUUCUUCCUUCUCCCUCUCAAUCCCUUCUCAAAUUCCAUUUCAACCAAUCUCUCGUUCCUCCCCUGCCCACCGUCUUCCCAGGUGCCGCGCCGCCGCCCCCGACCCUCCGCCGCCACCCCGCGAUGACCCACCUCCUGAUCUUGCUGCAUCUUUAUCCAAACUUCAGGAUAGAGUACAGAUCUUCUUUGCUGUGCUGUUCUGGAUGUCUCUGUUCUUUUGGGCUUCUGCCUGGGAUGGGAGAAAUAGACCAAACAAGGGAUCAAGAUUUAGAAGAUAAAAUAGUAAGCAUUUAAUUUGUAUAUAUCAUAUUAUAACUUAGGGUGACAGAAUUAUACUGUAAAAGAAAAAGUAGUUGAAUGUGUUCAUUGUGCUGAAUGAAUGUUCUGAUUCUCCAUAAAUAUUCUGCUCCAAAUAUUCUGCAUUCUAAAAUUUAUCCAGUCAGAUGUAAUUUAUGAAUAACCAUCCCGGUUUUCAUUUCCUUCUUUGUACUGCAUUGGAUGACAAGAUGUGUAAAACUGAAGCUAUAUCCAAAUUUGAAAUGUCUAUCCUUGUUGUAA